AUGCCUCCAAAAUUUGUGGAGCCCCAGUUUGUUUCUGCCGCCAUUGCUUUCUCUGUGCCAUCUCCGGGUCCACUCCCGGCCUCUAUUUCUGCCCCGGCUCUGGUCCCGGUUCCUGCCCCGGCCUCUGUUCCUGCAGCAACAGCAAGUAGUGGGUCUGCAGAGGAAGUCCUGAUUGAAGACUUGGGGCCAGAUGAGGAAGAGGACCUUCCUCAAGGGGAUCUGAUCAUUGACCAGGGCGCGAGUGAAGAGCCGCCAGCUGAUGUGCCUGAACAGAAUAAGAUGUUUUCAUACCCACUGUUUGUUUCCCCACCACCUCAGUCGGAAUACCUUCCAGGAAAUUUCAUAUAAUGCAGUAUUUCUUUUCAUCCAUACAUAUCAAAUUAAGCUAUACAAAAGACAAACAAAAUGCCUGUUAAUAAAGUAGACAAAUGUUGUGAAACA
rnacentral:lncRNA from 1 species